GAUGAACGCUGGCGGCGUGCCUAAUACAUGCAAGUCGAGCGAACGGACGAGAAGCUUGCUUCUCUUAUGUUAGCGGCGGACGGGUGAGUAACACGUGGAUAACCUACCUAUAAGACUGGGAUAACUUCGGGAAACCGGAGCUAAUACCGGAUAAUAUUAUUAAACACAUGGUUCAAAAGUGAAAGAUGGUCUUGCUUUCCCUUAUAGAUGUAUCCGCUCUUCAUUAGCUGGUUGGUAAGGUAACGGCUUACCAAGGCAACGAUCCAUAGCCGACCUGAGAGGGUGAUCGGCCACACUGGAACUGAGACACGGUCCAGCCUCCUCCGGGAGGAAGAAGUAGGGAAUCUUCCGAAAUGGGCGAAAGCCUGACGGAGCAACGCCGCGUGAGUGAGGAAGGUCUUCGGAUCUUAAAACUCUUUUAUUAGGGAAGAACAUAUGUGUAAGUAACUGCGCACAUCUUGACGGUACCUAAUCAGAAAGCCACGGCUAACUACGUG
rnacentral:rRNA from 1 species